GGAAUACCUGGUCGAUAGUAGUGCACUAGGUAGGGAAUACCUGGUCGAUAGUAGUGCACUAGGUAGGGAAUACCUGGUCGAUAGUAGUGCACUAGGACUAGGGAAUACCUGGUCGAUAGUAGUGCACUAGGACUAGGGAAUACCUGGUCGAUAGUAGUGCACUAGGACUAGGGAAUACCUGGUCGAUAGUAGUGCACUAGGACUAGGGAAUACCUGGUCGAUUAGUAGUGCACUAGGACUAGGGAAUACCUGGUCGAUAGUAGUGCACUAGGACUAGGGAAUACCUGGUCGAUAGUAGUGCACUAGGACUAGGGAAUACCUGGUCGAUAGUAGUGCACUAGGACUAGGGAAUACCUGGUCGAUAAUAGUGCACUAGGACUAGGGAAUACCUGGUCGAUAGUAGUGCACUAGGACUAGGGAAUACCUGGUCGAUAGUAGUGCACUAGGACUAGGGAAUACCUGGUCGAUAGUAGUGCACUAGGACUAGGGAAUACCUGGUCGAUAGUAGUGCACUAGGACUAGGGAAUACCUGGUCGAUAGUAGUGCACUAGGACUAGGGAAUACCUGGUCGAUAGUAGUGCACUAGGACUAGGGAAUACCUGGUCGAUAGUAGUGCACUAGGACUAGGGAAUACCUGGUCGAUAGUAGUGCACUAGGUAGGGAAUACCUGGUCGAUAGUAGUGCACUAGGUAGGGAAUACCUGGUCGAUAGUAGUGCACUAGGUAGGGAAUAGAAUGGUUUUUGUCUUUCCAUUCUUGUGCAUUUUUCCAUUUGGAACACAUGUUAUAAAUAUGUUGUUUUUGUGUGUUUUAAUCAUUGUUUUCAUGGGUCCAAAGUGUGUUCACUGAACAUAUGUAUGUGAAUGUGUUUGACUUGGUCGAGCUCUGGACUAUUGGCGGGUCAAAGAAAUGUAGUGUGGUCUUGCUUUAAGUUAUAACCUCUUAUUUGUAAUCAGAAUAGAUUUGUUUGGUAUCAUAUCCAGUGAUAUUUAAUAGGUGGUUUCUGGUGUAGACCAACAGCUGUCAUCAGGAAAGACCGACAAUCCAGUUAUUCAGGGUCGGCAGGGAUCAGAGGAGAAACAGGCCUCAAUAUUGAAUGAACAUGAUUCUGUUUGUAUGCAACCAUCUCAAGCUUUUAUCAAAGACUGCUUUUAUCCAGAACGUUCUAAUGGUGAAAAUAUGUCCAUGUUUUAAGUGUAACUACUGCAUUCCCUCAGAACACGACUAAAUAAAAGGUUAAGAGGAAA